GGAAUAUUGCACAAUGGGCGCAAGCCUGAUGCAGCAACGCCGCGUGCGGGAUGACGGCCUUCGGGUUGUAAACCGCUUUUAGUAAGGAAGAAGGGGAGCUUGCUCCUUGACGGUACUUGCAGAAAAAGGACCGGCUAACUACGUGCCAGCAGCCGCGGUAAUACGUAGGGUCCGAGCGUUGUCCGGAAUUAUUGGGCGUAAAGAGCUCGUAGGCGGUUUGUCGCGUCUGCUGUGAAAACUAGAGGCUCAACCUCUAGCCUGCAGUGGGUACGGGCAGACUGGAGUGCGGUAGGGGAGAAUGGAAUUCCUGGUGUAGCGGUGGAAUGCGCAGAUAUCAGGAGGAACACCGAUGGCGAAGGCAGUUCUCUGGGCCGUAACUGACGCUGAGGAGCGAAAGCGUGGGGAG
rnacentral:rRNA from 1 species